AAGUCGUAACAAGGUUUCCGUAGGUGAACCUGCGGAUAGUCAUUAACACGUAUCCAAACAUUAAAAACCUCCCCGUGAACCUUAAUGACACUUUCCGACACUGACUGCUUGGGGAAACAUUGCGUAUAGAACUACCGCUCGAUUGUAACUGUUCCAAUGUUCGCACGUAGCCAGAGGUCUCUGAAUCACUUCAACUUGCCGGGCUAUGAUUUAUCAGAGAUUGCGAACUACGCGGGUUACAAGAGCAGGAUGAAUUGAUUGUGCAAGGAUAGCGCUUCUACAAUUCCUGUAGACCGUACACUCGGGCAGGAGCUUUGCCAAAGGGUCCCCAUGCCCCCUAAUAACCCCACAGUUCAAUGUGAAGCUCAAUGUAAUACAUUGGGUAAAAAAACCGAACAACUGUUAACAAUGAAUAUCUUGGUUCUC
rnacentral:misc_RNA from 1 species